rnacentral:lncRNA from 1 species
CAUUUGUUUGUGGGUGAUAAAGGGAAGCCACCUUAUGCUUGACCUCAUAGUGCUUAAGCGCCUUGGCCAGCUAAGCAUUGCAAAAAUGGGAUCCUCCAUCACUAAUGAGGACCCUAGGAACUCCAAACCGGGUAAAGAUUUGCUUUUCCAAAAACUUGAUAACUAUAGAUGCAUCAUUUUUACGACAAGCAGCUACCUCCAC